UGGGGAAUCUUGGACAAUGGGGGCAACCCUGAUCCAGCCAUGCCGCGUGAGUGAUGAAGGCCUUAGGGUCGUAAAGCUCUUUCGCCUGUGAAGAUAAUGACGGUAGCAGGUAAAGAAACCCCGGCUAACUCCGUGCCAGCAGCCGCGGUAAUACGGAGGGGGUUAGCGUUGUUCGGAAUUACUGGGCGUAAAGCGCACGUAGGCGGACCAGAAAGUUGGGGGUGAAAUCCCGGGGGCUCAACCCCGGAACUGCCUCCAAAACUAUUGGUCUAGAGUUCGAGAGAGGUGAGUGGAAUUCCAAGUGUAGAGGUGAAAUUCGUAGAUAUUUGGAGGAACACCAGUGGCGAAGGCGGCUCACUGGCUCGAUACUGACGCUGAGGUGCGAAAGUGUGGGGAGCAAACAGGAUUAGAUACCCCUGGUAGUCCACACCGUAAAACGAUGAAUGCCAGUCGUCGGGGUAGCAUGCUAUUCGGUGACACACCUAACGGAUUAAGCA
rnacentral:rRNA from 1 species